GGCAAAGGGCAGGGCAGGGGGAUGGGAAUGUGGCCUGGGCUCUGGACUGGGACAGGCCUGGGUGGGGACCUGGGUGGAGAUGGAAACAGGGUUGAGAACAGGUGCAAGUGUAGGUCAGAGAACCUGGCUGAUCACCAUAUGUGGGGUGGGGAGCAUGGGCAUCUGGCGCAGGAAACUUGGGAACCGGGGUAGGGGCAGUUCUGCUGAAGAUUUUGUCCUUACCUCGUAAGUCCUUACCUGGUAUCCUGUGCUGGUAUCACCGGUGGCUUCCUGCCCAUGAUGCCCACCCAGGCGAUGUCAGCCUAUGAAGAGUGCUGUCUGAUGCAUUGGUGGUCUUCCAUGGCCUGGUAUCCUCUCCAUGGGUGCACUCUGCUUCGUCCCCCUGGAAGCUGUGAUGUGCUAAUAAGUAGGACUGACCAGAUCUGGGUUUUGCUGCAUGGUCAAAGCCAAAUCCACAAUCCUCUUCUUUUCAGGAGCAUUUGGAAUCAUCCUUAUGUUUGUAGAAAGUCUGAACAUAAUACGUAGAGACUGGCUCACAAGCCACUUUUCUGAAGCAGUAUGUUAAUAGUCAGUGACUGUGGCCUGGGCAUCACCAUUAGUGGUCUUGCUUCCAGGGAGACUACAGGGUUCUGUGGGGUGUGUUUCUCUCAUUUGGAACCAUAAAGGCAGAGGAAGCCAGGCUAGUAUUCCACACCUUUCUGUUUUGUAGCAGAGUUUAGAAGAGAACUUUAUUGGAAGAGCUCGAUUUCCAAUAAAGAACCUGAUAGCUUGUAGUGUGUGUUUUGUGUGUGUGUAUGUGUGUGGUGCUGAUAUUGAAUCCUGGGUCCUGUGUAUCUAGUACUAAGAAUCUGAGCCUUCUAAGGGUCCUGGGUCACCACCCAGCUCACGCCUGUCUCGUGUAGAAGUGAGUUGGUUCUUUUAUCCGUAGUUCAAUGCACGCUAUCUAGAUAUAUGUGUACAGUGUACCCCUAUUUCUCAGACGCAUCCUGAGGCUGCUCAGUGGAUGCCUGAAACUGUGAGUCGUGCUGGAUGCUCUAUGUAGUAUGUGUUUUCCACUCAUAUCUACCCAUGAAGAAGUUUAUAAAUUAGGCACAAUAAGAAAUAGUAACAAGGGUGAAGAGAUGGCUCCAUGGAGAAACGCACUUGCUGCUCUUGCAGAUUCAAGGUCACGUGCCAGCAUCGACAUGGUGGUUCAUACCUACCAGGAACUCCAGGCCUGGAGGAAUCCAAAACCCUCUUCUGGACGCUGUAUGGACGCUGUAUGCAUGGGAUACAUAGAUAUCUAUGCAGGCAAACACUCAUGUGUAAAAUAAAAAUAAAUACAUUAAA
rnacentral:lncRNA from 1 species